CCCCUAGACGUUCUGGGUUGCACGCGCGCUACAAUAAUACGCACAGCGAGUAUCACCGAGCUCGAAAGGGCAAGGUAAACAAUAGAAAAGGUACUGUAAUGGUUAUAGAUCCUUGUAAUUAUUGAUCUUCAACGAGGAAUUCCUAGUAAGUAUGUGUCAUCAUCACGCACUGAUUACGUCCCUGCCCUUUGUACACACCGCCCGUCGCUCCUACCGAUUGAAUGCUCAGGUGAGCCAUUCGGACUUUCAUCAUGCUGGUUUCCAGUUUUGAUGAAGGAAAGUCUUGCGAACCUUAUCAUUUAGAGGAAGGAGAAGUCGUAACA
rnacentral:rRNA from 1 species